GUUUUAUUCCGAAAAAAAUGCUGGUUUAGGCGGAGUGCAGUGGACACCCGAAAUGGAUCCGAAUCUCUAUGAAAAACGACUGUGUAAAUUCUAUAAAUUCAUUCUUCGAGAUGAUGUCCUCCAAGCUGAGGCAGAGUUCUCUGGAUCCUGAUGGAUGCCCUGAGUCAUAAUUUUCAUUGGUAGAAUCAAAGUUCAGACCUCACAGAGGAUCCCACCAUGUCUGGAUAUACAAGUAUGCAGUACAUCAAUGCACUUUCUCAAUUGACAAUCUUUGGUAAUAUAUAAGGCUCUCUUUGGUGAUGACAUCUCAUCUCAGACAGAAUUAUUUGAAAAAUGGAAACGUUUUACAGGAACAUCCAAAAUAAUUGCUGACCAUCAAAACCUAUGACAUGUUGCACAUGUUAACAACCUUUUAUCUGGUCAGCAGCAGUCUGAUUAUGGAUGGAACAGUGAUGUGGCAGCUCUCUUGCUCCUUUCAUCUCUUGCCUCAAACUGUAAACGGUGAAACUGCCCAGAUCAUGCUGUGAAGUUUAUGAAGGUGGGGAUGAGGAUUAAUAUGCCCAUUGAGCGAGUUGGAUUGACCCAGACCUUCCUUCUCUACGUUGGGGAAAUGUAGCAUCCGGAAGUUCUACAUCAUCCUGGACCAGAAAGAGUCCCCUGCAUGAUCCAGGCCCCUGCUGCAGCCUUGGACAAACUCUUUAAGGCACUCUUUGUCUUUGCUGUGUCUUAUGGUGAGGCCUUGUUCAGUUUUUACACAUUUAUUCUAAUAACCGUGCAUGGAAUUGAAGUCCAAGGGGUUAUGAAAACUAAAGUGAGAAUUCAAAAUUGAGGUUCAACCUUAUUUCAGAACAUUUAGUGCAAUGGAAGAACUUGUCAUCCUCAUGAUCAUGCAAUGACCCUGUUCUUAAUUCUUCUUGGCCUAAAUGCUAUUUAGGCCUUGUCUAAUACUUACUGAACAUUGUAUUCUUUACUGUAUUAACAGGGUAUAGAUUAUUGUUUGAGUUUUUAUUUUAAAAGAUUUUAGUUUGGCCCCGUUAAUGAAAUCUCAGUCUGGAAGGUAGUUUUAAACUAAAACUACACUAAAACUUUGUGUGUGUCAUCUUUUUCUACUAUAUCUUGGGUUGAUAACUAUGGAACUGAAUAAUGUUUGCUUUGCUGUUGAAAAUGAAAUGUCUGAUUUCUGUAAGAUGAAUAAGCAAGCAUGUUUAUUCAGUAUCGUAACUGCAGUGUAUUUAAGUAUGUAUUGAGGUGGUUACUAUUUUUACCAUUUUCUUUUUUGAGCGUAUGAUAAUAGACCUGAUGGACAAUGUUUAUAUUAUUGUGAUAGGCGAUUGAGAUAUUGUAGUUUUUUUUAAUAUGCAGUAAAUUAUGUAUUUGAUUGUGAAUGUUAAAUCUGGUGUACUUCAAUAAAAAGAGGUUUUGUAGUACUUGCUAACAUUUGUCCUUUUUGCAAUCACUUGAGUAUUAACAGAAAUACUAUUCAAAGCAACGAAAGUACUGCCA